rnacentral:lncRNA from 1 species
CGAAUCAUCUUCGUCCUUCCUGUUACGAAUUUUAUUUCGGCCUUUGAGUUUAACUGAUUUAUCUGUUAAGAUCUGAUCUGCAAGUGUUUGGGUUUUGUCGGUUUCGCCCUCAGAUUUAGAUACUUUAACUUUCUUUGCUUUUCCCAUGUUUACAGGUUUCACGUGUUGACAAUUGAUAUGGAAGAGAUCGUUUGGUCCAAAGAAGUUCCGAAAAU